GGAAAGAAAACUUGUAGCUUAUUUCAUUCAUAAUCCCUAGUUCUAGGAUUUACAAGCUUGUAUUCUGUUACAGAAUUUAAGUUUAGAUCAUGCGAUUCUGACAUGAAUUUUAAAAAAGAUCAAUUUUAGAUGCUUAACAACAGUGUUUUUAUGUACAAUUUUGAUGAAUGGUACAGUUUUGAAUGCCCUGCUACAAUACUAUUAUGGGUAGCAUGUGGUGGACAAACGGAUUUUUAUUUGUCUAGUUGGAUACUGUAUGUGAUUCUACUCUCCAAACAUGUGAGAAAAAAAAAUUGAUUUCCUUGUGACCACUCUCAUUUUAAUUCAUCCUCAGCUCCAAUGUCAUUUCCUUUGUUCUGCAUACAUGAAUAUGGCUGUUAAAUAUUUGUUUUUUGCUAUUGAUUCCUCGUCUCUGGUUUUCAUAUACCAAGUCUUCUGUUGUUAAUCUUCCGCUACUCUAUAGGAGACGUCUCUACUAGCCUGCUUCAUGGUAGCAUGUUGAAGAACUUGCUCGCCAAAAGCCAUGACAUGGUAAUACCUCUCAUACCCUUGCGAUCAGAUUAUGCAACUUCACAAAAUCAUCCAGGGUAAGCUCCUCUGGUCUUGAAGUGGCUGCAAGACCAACAUUUUCAAGAGCUUCUUCAAUUUCAAGGGAUGUGCAUAUGUGCUGAAGCGAUCUUCGCAACAUCUUUCGUUUCCCAUUGAAUGCAGAAUUCACCUAUAUCAGAAAAAGGGCUUGAUUAGUGUAAAAAAAAAAAAAUCUUGGUUAAAAGAUAGAACUUGUCAUAAGACCAUAGUUAAAACAUCCCAAGUUUGGAAGUAGUCAAUGUUUAAUCUAAGUUCUUUAAGUUACCAGCAAAGACCAAAAACAAAGGUUGUUAUGCAUAAUAGUUUGGGCAUUGGAAAGGAAACAACCAUUGAGAAGAAGCUUUUAGUGGAGGAAACUGCUGGAUAAUCUGCAGCUUGCUUUAGCUUAAAUGUAACAACAGCUGCAUCAACCUACCAAAAAGAAAGAGGGAGAGGGGGGUUGUUGGGUUAUGAUCAGUUCUCUGGACAUUCUUCAGAUAAAGUCAAAGCAAAACCUUAUUCUGAAUAUGCAAACAUAAUCAACAUUUGGUGAUAUAAAUAGAUAAUAUUCUUCUAUGCCUAUUGAGUCUUUAGACAGAAACUUGCAUAAAUAAUUUAUUUGCAUCCUAGGCAAACCAAAUUACUUACAUUGGGCUGAGGGAAAAAAGCUGACCUUGGGACCUUAAAUUUGUAUUCAGGAUCUGAAAAAGGAGCCAGCAUACUGAAACUAGGUCUUAAAGAAGAUAAACAAUACAUGCACAAAUAAUAAUGGGUCCAAUGAAAAUAGCUAAGCUAGAAGCAUAAAAGACUUAAAAGUUGUUCUUCACCUCAUUUAAUCCCUGAUUAGAAAAUGAGAAUGCUAGCAACAGUCCAAAUGAAUGUGAAGUUUCAUUAACAAUGUUAAAGAAACUGACAUAGAAAUCAACAAGAACUUAACAUGGAAAAUGGAAGUAGAACUCAAAACUCAAAUAAUUCACUUAAAAAUAUAAGCACACACACACAUACAAACAAAACAAAAAGAUUGGGACUCCUGUUAUCUUUAUCUUCCAUGACAAAAAUUGUACGUUUCAUUUGUAAACCAAAAGCUUGAAAGCAGAAUGGUUGAAUCAAAGCAUUAAAGUCCACUGAUCAAAAGCUCCUAAAAGACAGAUUUCAAACAGAUUUUUAUUGCUGAGGCACCUGAAUAAAAAUUGACAAAGAUAUUGAUAGGUCGGUAUUCUGACGUUCUUAAGGAUGAUUCCACCAAACGCAGCGCUGUUUCCUCCUGGAGUAAAAGGACAACGUCUGAGAAAAUGUCACCCAUCGGAAGCAAUUGUUUAACUACAUCCGUACUUAUAUUAAAUGGUAUAUUAGAGACUACUUUUGCACAUCUUGGCUUUUGAUCCAAAGAACUUAUGCUUUCAAAAAGCGAGAACAUGUGGGAACCAAUGUGACAUUUGACAAAGUCCUCUUGCAAAACCUUCAAACGGUCUAUAUAAGCAAAUCUCUGUUUAACUAGAGCAGCCAUGUGAGGAUCUUUCUCAAUAGCAAGAACGGUGGCUCCUGUGUCCAGAAGAACGUUAGUCAAAGAACCAGUUCCAGGUCCAAUUUCAAGAACCACAUCUGCAUCUUGAACAUUAGCGGCAGCAGCAAGUUGCUCGUUAACCUCAGAAUUCAACAUGUAAUGCUGCACUGGGUAAAGAUUUCUAAAGAUUUAAGUUAUUGCAUUAGAUUUACACAGAAAAAAUCACUAUUUAUAUAUUUAACCCAAAAGAUGAUCAUGGAGAGUUCCAUUUUCCCUCCUCCCGUAAAUGUUGGACGGCAAAUUGAACAGCACUUCAAAAGAAAUGUCGGGAGGGAAAGAAAGAGAGAGAUUCAUAUAAGGUAAAAAGUGGAAUAGAAAACCUGGCCAAGGGAUUUCCUGGGUCUGUGGCCUCUGGAGUUGAGGGCUCUGACUGUGGCGUGGUAAUCGUCUGGGCUUCUCCUCGCGCCACAGGUAAUGGUUAGCUUUCGUCUUUGUACUUCAGCUUUGCUAUUGUGCGCCGGGAGUGAAUGUCUAACUCUGCCCCUGGGUUUUCGAGGAGCUAUUGGAGGGACUGGUUGCAGGAGAUAAGGCGCGGAGCUCAUCUUCUUCUC
rnacentral:misc_RNA from 1 species